CGGACGGGUGAGUAACACGUAGAUAACCUGCCCUACAUGGGGAAUAACCACUCGAAAGAGUGGCUAAUACCGCAUAAGUUCUCUUUCGUUAGAAGGAGAGGAAACCUUUUCCGUGACAGGAGAGGGGCUGAAGGAGGGGUCUGCGGCGGAUUAGCUAGUUGGUGGGGUAACGGCCUACCAAGGCGACGAUCCGUAGCUGGUCUGAGAGGACGGCCAGCCACACUGGGACUGAGACACGGCCCAG
rnacentral:rRNA from 1 species